rnacentral:rRNA from 1 species
UACAGAGGUCUCAAGCGUUGUUCGGAUUCAUUGGGCGUAAAGGGUGCGUAGGCGGCGCGGUAAGUCGGGUGUGAAAUCUCGGGGCUUAACUCCGAAACUGCAUUCGAUACUGCCGUGCUUGAGGACUGGAGAGGAGACUGGAAUUUACGGUGUAGCGGUGAAAUGCGUAGAUAUCAGGAGGAACACCGGUGGCGAAGGCGGGUCUCUGGGCCGAAACUGACGCUGAGGAGCGAAAGCGUGGGGAGCAAACAGG